AUUUUGGGUUGUAUAUUUUUAUUGCAAGUGCUUGUUUCCGAAAUGAAUAGUUGUCUCAGUAUGUACACAUGUGUUUGUAUACACAGACACACAUAUAUAAUAUUUUUAAAACUACUUUUGCUAAAAGUAGAGAAUAUACAUUAAUCUAUACUAUGAAUUAAAACAUUUUAACUCUCAAUCUCAUUUCUCCUGUUUUGUUAAUUGCAUUAUUACAGACUCUCAGCCACCAGAUUACAAAGCCUUGAUUGCUUUUUCUGAUUAUUACUGCACAAGCUAUCCCUGUUAAGUCUGGAUGACUUUACCCUCAUGGUAUCUCUCACACAGAUGCCACUGGUGUACUUGGUAUAACUCUAUGCCCACUAUCUGAUUAAAUCCUCCGUUGCU
rnacentral:lncRNA from 1 species